rnacentral:rRNA from 1 species
UACGAAGGGGGCUAGCGUUGCUCGGAAUCACUGGGCGUAAAGGGUGCGUAGGCGGGUCUUUAAGUCCGGGGGGAAAUCCUGGAGCUCAACUCCAGAACUGCCUUUGAUACUGAAGAUCUUGAGUUCGGGAGAGGUGAGUGGAACUGCGAGUGUAGAGGUGAAAUUCGUAGAUAUUCGCAAGAACACCAGUGGCGAAGGCGGCUCACUGGCCCGAUACUGACGCUGAGGUGCGAAAGCGUGGGGAGCAAACAGG